GGGACCAAGACGGAGCGCGGUAGUUGAUCCACAUGGCUGCGCGGGCGCAGUUGGAGUAUGGAAGUAAUAAACUCCGGCGGCUGAUAAUACUACUAGCGGCCUCAUA
rnacentral:snRNA from 1 species